rnacentral:rRNA from 1 species
CCAUUUAGUGGGGAAUAACUGUUGGAAACGACAGCUAAUACCGCAUAAUAUUGCUGGAUAAUUUCCAGUAAUGAAAGGAGCUUUCAAGCUCCGCUGAUUGAUGAGGAUGCGGCGCAUUAGCUAGUUGGUAGGGUAAUGGCCUACCAAGGCAAUGAUGCGUAGCCGAUCUGAGAGGAUGAACGGCCACAUUGGGACUGAGACACGGCCCAAACUUCUACGGAAGGCAGCAGUAGGGAAUUUUUCACAAUGGGCGAAAGCCUGAUGGAGCAAUGCCGCGUGACUGAUGAAGGUCUUCGGAUUGUAAAGGUCUGUUGUAAGGGAAGAAAUGGUAAAACAGGAAAUGGUUUUAUCUAUGACGGUACCUUACCAGAAAGCCACGGCUAACUAUGUGCCAGCAGCCGCGGUAAUACAUAGGUGGCAAGCGUUAUCCGGAUUUAUUGGGCGUAAAGGGUGCGUAGACGGUUUUGCAAGUCUGAGGUUAAAUUUAGGAGCUCAACUCCUAAUCGCCUUGGAAACUACAAGACUAGAGUAUAGGAGAGGUUAGUGGAAUUCCAUGUGUAGCGGUGGAAUGUGUAGAUAUAUGGAGGAACNCCAGUGG